AUUUAUAUUUGCACUGGCUCCAGUCUGCGGUGGGGCUGGAAAGUGUAUUUCAUUCAGGUCAGUGAACAUUUUUACGUACCAUAAAAUAUAGGACAUAUAAAUAGUCUUGACUUGAUUACCAACCGGGCAGCGAGGCAGAAAAGAAACCACCUGAGAUUCUGAAAUUCAGACUUUCACAAAAUGAUUUCCUAUAAGCUCAACUUGAUUAUUUUUACCCAGCAACAGCCUCUUUGCACUCUAUGAACUAACAUGGUUUGGUACACAGUAGGUACACUAUUCAAGUAUGCACAGUGUCAAUUAAAUUAAAUAGUUGUUUACACUGACAUAGUUAUUCAGAUACUGAAACGUCACAGAUAUCACUGUGUGUCCUUAUUAUUUAAAGGAGGAGUCGGGGGCGGCUGGGCAGCUUCCUGGCAGAGGUGACAUAGGGAUACAUUGGCAGCCCUGGGUCUAUUGCCCAGAACAGAGGCACGUAGGGGGGCACAACGUGGGGCACAGAGGAGAGGAUCCAAUGGGAACUAGGUGGCCUUUCCCCCCCAUCUCUUCCCUUUCACACAGGGGUCAUUCCCCCGGAGAGAGGGCUGGAGGCUGGAUGGCACGGAGAGGAAGAGAAACAGGCUAAUACUGCCAGGCCCUGGGGCCCUGCUUCCUGACCGGGUGGGAGACCCUUGAUACACACAACACACACCCCGCCCUCAUACAGCAUGUCACUUCAAGGGAAGGGUAGGGGUUUCCAGCCUUCCGCCAGCGACAGUAAAUCACUCUGCCUUGCACCGUUGUCCACCAGGAAACUAAACCACCCUGCCUUGCACCGUUGUCCACAAGGAAACUAAACCCCCCUGCCUUGCAUCGUUGUCCACCAGGAAACUAAACCACCCAGCCUUGCACCGUUGUCCACCAGGAAACUAAACCCCCCUACCUUGCACCGUUGUCCACCAGGAAACUAAACCACCCAGCCUUGCAUCGUUGUCCACCAGGAAACUAAACCCCCCUGCCUUGCAUCGUUGUCCACCAGGAAACUAAACCACCCUGCCUUGCAUCGUUGUCCACCAGGAAACUAAACCCCCCCUGCCUUGCAUCGUUGUCCACCAGGAAACUAAACCACCCUACCUUGCACCGUUGUCCACCAGGAAACUAAACUCCCCUGCCUUGCAUCGUUGUCCACCAGGAAACUAAACCCCCCUGCCUUGCACCGUUGUCCACCAGGAAACUAAACCCCCCUACCUUGCACCGUUGUCCACCAGGAAACUAAACCCCCC
rnacentral:lncRNA from 1 species